rnacentral:rRNA from 1 species
UAAUACAGAGGGGGCAAGCGUUGUUCGGAAUUACUGGGCGUAAAGGGCGCGUAGGCGGCCUGCUAAGUCGAACGUGAAAUCCCUGGGCUCAACCCAGGAACUGCGUCCGAUACUGGUUGGCUUGAAUCCGGGAGAGGGAUGUGGAAUUCCAGGUGUAGCGGUGAAAUGCGUAGAUAUCUGGAGGAACACCGGUGGCGAAGGCGACAUCCUGGACCGGUAUUGACGCUGAGGCGCGAAAGCCAGGGGAGCAAACGGGAUUAGAUACCCUGGUAGUCCACGCCGUAAACGAUGAAUGCCAGCCGUUAGUGGGUUUACUCACUAGUGGCGCAGCUAACGCUUUAAGCAUUCCGCCUGGGGAGUACGGUCGCAAGAUUA